rnacentral:snRNA from 1 species
UAGUCUGGAGAAGCGUCCU